rnacentral:sRNA from 1 species
GACGCCGAGCUGGCAAUGCCCCGCCCGCGCCGCUGACGGCGCGCGGAGAGCGCACGCACCCGUGACGUAGCCCAGGCGCCGCGGCGCGCGGGGUGGGGCGGAGGUCGCGCCGAGGGCGGCGGGCUGCCGCGCAAGGGUGGCGCGCGCGCGGUGAGUGUGCGAGUGUCGGCGGCGCCUGAUCCUCUACGUGGGGCCCGGGCUCUGCGGGCGGGAGGCGGGAGCUGGCAGCCCCAGGCGGUAGCGCUUCGUCCUGCGGCCUGGGUGUGUCAGGAGUCGCUGCGGUCGGGGCGCCCUUGCCUCAGGAGACUUAGAUCCCCGCUGGUCCGCCCGUCCCGCCGCAGUGGUCUGAGCCGCAGCCCUUUCCCGUGCCGCCCGCGGGUCCCGUUCCUCCCGUGUCUCCAUGCCGCAGCCAGCGUGGCCGCGGCUACCUUGCCCUCGCCCCCGCUCAGCUUCUGCGGCUCCCGGCACUGCCCUACUCCUUUGGGUUGCAUCUCUUUCCUGGCUUUUCACCCUUGCUGAUUCUGUAAGGGAUAGUGCAGCCAGCGGACGUCCCAGGCCAAAUGUUUUUUGAUAGGCAGUUGAGGACUUUCCCGAGGGCGGUGGUUGGGGGCGAGGCUGCCAGCCUCCCAAGAGCAGCGGCACGCCAGGGAGCCGGGCGGGGAGGGGAGUGCUGCCACCGAGGUCAGGAGCAGGGUCCUCGGCCUCACUAGGUCCUGGUGGCCGAUACUUCCCGCCCACGACCGCCCCCCGGAUUUCCAUUUGCUAAUACCGGUCCGCAGCCUUCUUUCCUGAAAGUUGCAUAAAGUUGGAAGCUCUUCAACUUGCCUCCCCGACUCCUGAAAUCCCGAAUACACCUCUGAAAAGGAGUGUACUCACAAGUAUUCUCAUUUUUCAAUGAGAGUCAGUCAGUGAGUCAUUAAGGAAGUUUUCCUUGUUCCUGGUCAACAAAGAAAUGUGGAGUGUCUUGGCUGAAUCCUCAUACAGACAAGAUCAUUAUGGUGCUGUUAGGUAGGACUUGUAUCCAGAUGUAAGGUUGAAAAAGUGAUAUAAUAAAGGAACCAAGGAGAAAAUUCAGAAGGAAAGAAAAAAUUGCCUCUGCAGGUGUGUGAGCAGGACUG